rnacentral:rRNA from 1 species
AAUGGAGUGGUAUCCAUAUCUGAAUACAUAGGAUAUGAGAAGGCAGACCCGGGGAACUGAAACAUCUAAGUACCCGGAGGAAGAGAAAGCAAAUGCGAUUCCCUGAGUAGCGGCGAGCGAAACGGGAUCAGCCCAAACCAAGAGGCUUGCCUCUUGGGGUUGUAGGACACUCUGUACGGAGUUACAAAGGAACGAGGUAGAUGAAGAGGUCUGGAAAGGCCCGCCAUAGGAGGUAACAGCCCUGUAGUCAAAACU